UCACACAUCUUACUCCAGUAAUAUGUUCCCUUUGAUCAGUCUCUGUAUACCGUAACCAGAACUUUUCUCUUUUGGAAAUAAAGAGUACGAAUUAGUUUUCCAUAUUACUGAUAAAAUUCUAUCUAUGUAAACAAACAAACAUUAUGUGUGACAAUAUUCCGGGACAAUAUUGCAGAUCCGAGGUCGGUUCUGCCUGCAGUAUAUAAUCAACAUCCUCAAGAAUUAAUAAGAAAGAAUUUUUGAAAAAGUAUGUAAAACUAUGGAACAAUGAAAAGCACAAGAUAAACUGGAAACUCACUUAUGAGUCUGUGACGUCAAGUCUUAACUGUCCACUAAUUGUUUUCUUUAUCUUGAUAAUAUAAAUUUUUCCCCCAAGAAUCUUAUUUCUUCACACCAGCAUCCAAGUUAGAUCGAUGGUAAUGUGUUUUUGUGUGGAUGCACUACUAUAGAGUAUUUUUUUACAAUUAAAUCAUGAAAUCUGAAUUUUGAUAAUCUAUUAAGAUAAAAGUCAAUAGUUAUGAAUAUACAUUAUUCACAAAAUUGUAUCAAUUCUUCAAGUUCAAGUUCAAGUUCAAGUUCAAGUUUAUUUGUCUUUCUUCCAACAUAAAUGUAAUACAAUUUAACAAAUGUAUAACAUGCAAAGUAUAUAAGAGGAACACUUAUAAGAAUAAAGUUCACACAAUGCAUUUACAUGAGAAAACAAAAGAAGAAAAGACGAGGAGACCUAAUUAAAGCUUAGCUUGUAGAGGUCAGGUCCCUCAAAAACAAUAACAUAAACAACAAGAACAGCCUGGUUAUAUAAUAGAUUAAUAAAAGAAAUGUUCGUCAAAGGCGCUUAAGUACUAAAAUAAAAUACGUAAACAAUAACCAUAUGAUUAUACACAUGGUUUAACUGAGUAAUAAAAAAGGGUGGGGAGAAGAGACUAUGUACAAAAGGGGGAGAUAAGAGUGAUAAUGAUGUGGGAUAUAGAAAUGAAGAGAGGGGCGGGAGUGGGAAAGAGAGGGAGAGCUCGAGUGGGGGGAGAAAGAAAAAAAAAUACUUUCACUGUAAACUGAAAGCUAGUGUAACCCCCAUAAAAAUGGCAAUUACUAAAGCAAUAUUUUGUUAUUUAUUCUUUUUCUAUCUCUAUCUCUCUCUCUCUCUCUUUCUAUCUCUCGUCUCUCUCUCUCUCUCUCUCUCUUUCUAUCCUUUCAUUUCAUCUCAUACUUCUAAGAAACAAACUCUGCUUUGUGCUCCUUAUGCAGUUUAGUGCAAUAUAGGUUUGUUCUCACCCAGAUUAUUUUCUUCUCCCAGUUUAAGAACUCUUGCUGGUAGAUAACUUAUUUGCUAGAGCUGUGACCAUCAAUAGCACUGGACACAGUGUUUGGGAUUAUAUUGUCUCCCACAGAAUUCGGUGCCCUUUCCCCUUUGUCUACUCCCUUUAAUAGGACCCUCUUUUCUUAAGUGGUGUUUGCAGGUAGAUUGUGUCCCUUCAGGAUGUUGCUACUGUUAAUCUCUGUAUUCAGGUAUAGUUUUAAAGUGGUUGUACUAAGAAAAGGCGAGCUUUAAGACCAUGCUGUAGAGAGCUGGCUUGGAGUAUUGGGUUUGAGACAAAGGAUGGGUUGUUUUAGUUAAGGAUGCAAGCUUGGUCCUAUCACAUGAUGUUAGGUAACCAAUAAGACGUCUAGUUGGAAGGAAGGGUAAUGUGGGUCUGGACAGUUUAAUACAACUUUGACACUUUAAGUUUCCAACUCAUUCUCUGCCCAGCUGCCAUUGCUUCGAACACUACCCUGUAUAUAUUCAAUCUCCAUAUUGGAGCAUGUGCUACUAAAUAUAUCUGUAGCCUCUACCUGAUUUUCUUCUUCGAAACAUAUACAAAACGUAUAUAUCAAUUUUAUAUUCUUCAAGCUUCUCUAAGUUUAAGAGAGUUUCCUGUGUUAUAUUUCAUUGGGCAUUUCAUCCAACUUCAACAUUAUUGAGUUGGUUAUCAUCCCAGUUCCUGAUUUUAUAUUCAAGCAAGUGUUGGCUCUUUUACUAGGUGGAUCUUUUACUAGAUCAGUCUUUUACUAGGACUUUUACAAGAGUCUUUUAAUUGAUGAAAUUCAUCAAGCUUCAAGCUAUCGUUCAACUUGUUCCUGUGUUCUGCGUGCUGCGACGUCCUCUUCAACGACACAGAGACGCCGGAUAUAUUGAUCAACCGCGUAUCGCGAGCGAGUUCAUGAACAUUUAAUAAUUUGGUUACUUUAAUAUUUAGAUAAUAGUCGGUUUAGUUAUAAGUUAUAAUACCUUAUAAUGUUAUAGUUGUAAGUUGUGGAAGUUUUGUUUAUUUCAAUGUUUACUUGAUUUGCAGUUGUUAUUGACAACGAGCUAAUAAAGGCAUUGCCAGGUUAUUUUGUUAAAACGUAA